GGCGUAACCUCUGACCUUAUACUAAACUAGGCUUCGGCCCAAGCAAUGCAUGGUUUGUUUAUCACGAAAGAAAAACAGUUGAAAGUAGUUUACUGAAAACAUUGAUCAAAAUGCCUCAUGAUUUAGAUGACAUUGAGGACAUUGUCUCAGUCGAAGACGUAACACCUAACGAGAGGUUUGCUAACAAACCAGAUGUUGUACCAAAAGUACGCAAGAAAAACAAUGCAGCUUUUAAACAAGAAGAGAUAACAACAGACAGCAUUGUUCCUGGUACCCAAAAUAUAUAUGUGAAGACCUGGGGUU